rnacentral:lncRNA from 1 species
AUGCUCUCUCACCUCAAGAUUGCCCGCCCCACUGUGCAGAAAAUUACUGCAGGACAUGUCGAUGUGGCAGACCAGGUUAUCUUCUGGGAUAUUCUGAAGGAAAUAACCAAGCUUCAGAGAGGUACUAGCAGAAAAUACCACUGUCUGACCUCCUUGAUGCUACACUAGGAUCUUUGAAAGAAUGUCACCAUUAUCGAGUGUGUGGCUAUAAAUGGUAACCCUGGUGCCAGAGGAAAAACAUAAGCCACUUUCUGAAUAUACAGUUUGGGUGAUGGCAGAUGGUGGUUCAAAUGUGAAAGCCAUACAUCCUACAAGGAGAAACCCCCAGGAACCGCUGCGUCUUGUUCCCAUUCAGAAGUGAUCAAACAGGUUCUUCAGACUUUUGGAAAUCAGACUACAGUCAUACCUGCUGGAAGGGCUAGGAAUAAACUUUCAGCAUUCUUGGACGUGCCUGAUAAAGAGUCAGGAAAAAAUCUGAUUUGUGUGUGUGUGUGAAUAUAUAUACAUGUGAAUACUAUCAUAAAAUACUUGAAGGGCAUGUGAUCACUCUGGGUGAUAAAUCAGUUUCACUGGCUGAGAUGGCAAUGAGGGAGGCUCGCAACUCAUGCAAAAUGAACCACUAGGCUCUAGCCAGAAAAAUUCCACAACUAGAGAUGGCAGGACAUAAA